UUGUAUACAAGCAUGGUAAGACCAAAUAAACAAGACAGCUUAUAAUCACACUCUCAAUAAUGUAAUUACACAAACAGAAGCAGAGGAAACAGGUGUCUCAAAUCUCAAUGUUAAAUCUCUUGAUAUCAUUAACAAGUUAAAGUCUAAAACAGUAUAUAUGAAAAAAUUCAGUAAUUGGCUUUACAAAUUUACCAGAAAUAAAGGGACUGGAGAAUCUCAAUCUUCUGUUUAUGCACUAAAAUAACAGCUAAUAUCAUCAGAAAGCUCGUCACCAAUGACAGGCAUGACUGCUUCCAUUCAUCUCAGCAGUUCUCCUUUUUAUAUAGCCACUCAAAGAGUCCCAUCGCUCACGAUUAAUAGGAUCAUAAAAUCCUGCUGAGCUGGACACUUUUCUAGCUCUGGUCACUGAAAUGUAUGUUUUACCUGCAAUACAUCCCACUAUCAUCUAAAAUAAUCAGUGUGGAAGGGGGAUGACAGUGGAGGCACUGCUAGCUGUAUUAUUUUUAAUGAUCAUACAAGCCUCUUUUCCACCACACUGUAAAAAAGCCAACUUACAAAAAGUCCUCCCAAUAAACAUAAAACAGUAAAUUGAACUUAUUAUAGUAUAUUUUGAUUGGAAGUGUUCAUGCAUGAUACUAAGUUCAUUCAACAAAUUAGUUCCUUGAAUGUUAAAAACGAGCAAUGUUUUGUUGAUCUUACUAAGUUGUUUUCGUUUUCAUUGAAUCUCGCGAUUCUCGUCAGCGUGUGCGCAGUUUGAACAUUGAACGCAUGCGCAGUUUGAGACAUAAGCUACUUCAACACGGGACUUUCAAAAAGUUGAUGCAGGAGGUGAGAAGACAACGACAGCGCCAGCGCCAGCGGUUUCCAGAAGUUGAUGCUGGUGGAAAGUGGAUGACAGCGUCCUGCCUAAUCAAUCCGAUUUUUUCCUGCACAAUAACUAUGCGUUACUGAUUUCGCGCACUUUUUGGUCCUUUUCGAUGCUGAUGUGAAGGAGUGGUGUCGUCGUGCCUGAUCAAUCCAGCUUUUCUUUAAAAUAACCGGUGACUGACAUUACCUCACAUCGGAAAAGAACAGCUCUUAAGGGAUUGCCAAUUUUUCUGCGUGAGAAGCCAGCAUGUUUACUCAAGAUGUGCCUGGAUACUGAUCCUGUGGACCACUGCACCAAAGGUGUAAAGAUUGGAAUUCUUACUGUGGUCGAAGAUGAUGUUGCUGCCGUCACAUCACUGCCAAAUGUGAUCAACCUGGCCAUAAUCCUAUAAGGGGCCAUUGUGCUUGAGGACAUUCCAGAUCUGCCAGCAGCAUUCGCAUACUUGUUUGGUCUCAUGUAUGCACUCAACAUGGAGUAUCCAAAAGAACUUAAGUAUACUUUUGAAGUAAUACAAAAAAUCUUCAUGGAUCUUGGUGGCAUCUGCUCUGCAAGAGUGCAGUCAUUGAAGUCUAAACUUUGCUAAAUGGACAAAUGCAUCUGAAUGACGUUCUUCCAGUGGCCAUUGUUUAUUUUAUACUUUCAUAGUUAAUGACUAAAAAACAAUACUGUUUUCUUUCAAUGCAUUCAUUAAUGUUAAGUAUUCACUUGUUACAAC